rnacentral:rRNA from 1 species
CCAGUGGCGGACGGGUGAGUAACGCGUAAGAACCUGCCCUUGGGAGGGGAACAACAGCUGGAAACGGCUGCUAAUACCCCAUAGGCUGAGGAGCAAAAGGAGGAAUCCGCCCAAGGAGGGGCUCGCGUCUGAUUAGUUAGUUGGUGAGGCAAUGGCUUACCAAGGCGACGAUCAGUAGCUGGUCCGAGAGGAUGAUCAGCCACACUGGGACUGAGACACGGCCCAG